rnacentral:sRNA from 1 species
GCACUGCAGAGGUAGUGGUAUCAUGCAAG